ACACGUGGGUGACUUGCCCCGAAGAUGGGGAUAACCUCUGGAAACGGGGGCUAAUACCCAAUGUGCUCGGUGAUUCGGUUCAUCGAGUAAAGCUCCGGCGCUUCGGGAGAGGCCUGCGGCCCAUCAGCUAGUUGGUAGGGUAACGGCCUACCAAGGCAGAGACGGGUAGGGGGCGUGAGAGCGCGGACCCCCACACUGGCACUGAGAUACGGGCCAGACUCCUACGGGAGGCAGCAGUAAGGGAUAUUGCGCAAUGGACGAAAGUCAGACGCAGCGACGCCGCGUGGGCGAUGAAGGCCUUCGGGUUGUAAAGCCCUUUUAUGGGGGAAGAGAAAAAGGACGGUACCCCAGGAAUAAGUCCCGGCUAACUACGUGCCAGCAGCCGCGGUAAAACGUAGGGGACAAGCGUUAUCCGGAUUCACUGGGCGUAAAGAGCGUUGAGGCGGUUCCGUAAGUUGGGCGUGAAAGCUCCGGGCUUAACUCGGAGAUGUCGUUCAAUACUGCGGGGCUUGAGGACAGCAGAGGAAGGUGGAAUUCCCGGUGUAGUGGUGAAAUGCGUAGAUAUCGGGAGGAACACCCGUGGCGAAGGCGGCCUUCUGGGCUGUUCCUGACGCUGAAGGCGAAAGCUAGGGGAGCGAACGGGAUUAGAUACCCCGGUAGUCCUAGCUGUAAACGAUGGAUGCUGGGUGUGGGGGGUGUAAAUUCCCUCUGUGCCGAAGCAAACGCGUUAAGCAUCCCGCCUGGGGACUACGGCCGCAAGGCUAAAACUCAAACGAAUUGACGGGGGCCCGCACAAGCAGCGGAGCGUGUGGUUUAAUUCGAUGCUACACGAAGAACCUUACCUGGGUUUGACAUGCACGUGGUAGGGAACCGAAAGGGGACCGACCUUCGGGAGCGUGCACAGGUGCUGCAUGGCUGUCGUCAGCUCGUGCCGUGAGGUGUCGGGUUAAGUCCCGUAACGAGCGCAACCCUUGCCCUUAGUUACAAGUGUCUAAGGGGACUGCCCGGGACAACUGGGAGGAAGGUGGGGAUGACGUCAAGUCAGCAUGGCCUUUAUAUCCAGGGCUACACACACGCUACAA
rnacentral:rRNA from 1 species